CCUACGGGAGACAGCAGUGGGGAAUAUUGCGCAAUGGGCGAAAGCCUGACGCAGCGACGCCGCGUGAGGGAUGAAGGUCUUCGGAUCGUAAACCUCUGUCAGCAGGGAAGAACGGUCACUGUGCUAAUCAGCAGUGAAUUGACGGUACCUGCAAAGGAAGCACCGGCUAACUCCGUGCCAGCAGCCGCGGUAAUACGGAGGGUGCGAGCGUUAAUCGGAAUUACUGGGCGUAAAGCGAUCGUAGGCGGUAUGUCAAGUCAAGGGGGAAAUCCCCGCGCUCAACGUGGGAACUGCCUUUGAAACGGGCAAACUGGAGUGUGUGAGAGGAUAGUGGAAUUCCAGGUGUAGGAGUGAAAUCCGUAGAUAUCUGGAGGAACAUCAGUGGCGAAGGCGACUAUCUGGCACAUAACUGACGCUGAGGAGCGAAAGCGUGGGUAGCAAACAGGAUUAGAUACCCUAGUAGUC
rnacentral:rRNA from 1 species